CGCGCUAGUUACGAAGUUUCAAAGGAAGUCGCUAAAAUACACAAAUUUCGGCUAGUUAUAUCUUUUUUGUUUAUGCUCUGAUUUUUUUCGUUAUUGUGUGAUUUGAAAGAUAAAGUGUCCAUUUACAAUCGUAUGUUUGUUUUUUUUUGAUAAUUUUGCAACGAAAUUGUAAAAAUGGCGUGGAAAAGAGCAACACAAUACAAGCGCUUCAUUGUCGGGAGCGUAUGCGACAGCAAAGGUUAAGCUUUAUAGCCAUAGAUAACAAGACGAAGCAGUGUAGAGCAACGGCUAAGAAGUUAAAAAGAUUGGAUAAAAGGGUAAGAUGAGCCUUUUAAUUGUUUUGGUAGUUUAUUUAGUACAAAAUUUUAACAAAUCGAUGCCUCUAGGUAUAGCAAAAUCAUAGUAUUUAUACAUAUUUUUUCAACAUGAUCGAUCGGCUCAGUUGCUAGGUUAAUGUUUACUUAGCCACUUGGACAGUGAGUCAAAGAUCCCU